CCACUGCUUUGGGCAGCACAUCGUCGUCGCCGGUGGAGGAAUUUUUCCUCCCACGUUAUUUGUGCUAAGAAUCUUUUUCCCCUUUCUCUUCACCUAAUUUUGUCACUUGAAGCGAAUCCAACGAUUCUAAAAUUCUAUAAAUUGCCCUUCCCCUUUCCUUCCUCUCCACACUUCCAUUUUUUCUAUUUUUCAAAGGUUUAGAUUGAUAGAGAGAG
rnacentral:lncRNA from 1 species